CCCUUAGACGUUCUGGGCCGCACGUGCGCUACACUGACGAAGGCAACGAGCUUUCCUUUACCGAAAGGUACGGGUAAUCUUUUGAAACUUCGUCGUGCUGGGGAUAGAUCCUUGCAAUUAUUGAUCUUAAACGAGGAAUUCCUAGUAAGCGCAAGUCAUCAACUUGCGUUGAUUACGUCCCUGCCCUUUGUACACACCGCCCGUCGCUACUACCGAUUGAAUGGUUUAGUGAGGCCUUCGGAUCCGCGACUCGUUUUGUGGAGAAGUUGGACAAACUCAGUCAUUUAGAGGAAGUAAAAGUCGUAACA
rnacentral:rRNA from 1 species